ACAAUUCUUAAGUGGCUAGGACAAAGCAAAAGCGAGUAUACCUUUUUGAAAAGCUGUCUAAGUGGUAUUUCCUUUUCCAUUCUGAGAACGUAAACUGCUUUUUCCUUUUCUGCUGCACAUGUCAAUAUCUGAGUCUUAGACAUUAAGGGCUCUUCUCUUCCUCCCCUCUCCUGGACUUCCCACAGGUUGGUGCCACACACAGAGCCCUGCCUCCCUCUGCACUCUGAUUAGAUUGUCAUUGAAUGCCUUGUGAUAAAUGCUUAAAAUAUACACAUGAAAGAGAAGAGGGAGGAAAGAGGAGAAAGCAGUAAUGCAUAUAGAAAAGAAUGAGAAGGUAUUUAAAAGGGAAAUAACAUCAUCUCAUUAUAUUUUGAACGUGGACCAUUUCACCCACAAACUUCACUCAAUCUUUUCCGGUUUUGUGCUUCACUUGCCGUUAAUUGUUUCUGUGGAACCUUGAGUGUCAAUUGAUACAGUACAAGCCAUG
rnacentral:lncRNA from 1 species